CGGGUGAGUAACACGUAUCCAACCUGCCGUCUACUCUUGGACAGCCUUCUGAAGGAAGAUUAAUACAAGAUGGCAUCAUGAGUUCACAUGUUCACAUGAUUAAAGGUAUUCCGGUAGACGAUGGGGAUGCGUUCCAUUAGAUAGUAGGCGGGGUAACGGCCCACCUAGUCUUCGAUGGAUAGGGGUUCUGAGAGGAAGGUCCCUCACAUUGGAACUGAGACACGGUCCAA
rnacentral:rRNA from 1 species